rnacentral:rRNA from 1 species
UACGAAGGGGCUAGCGUUGUUCGGAAUUACUGGGCGUAAAGCGCGCGCAGGCGGUCUUCCAAGUCAGUGGUGAAAGCCCGGAGCUCAACUCCGGAACUGCCAUUGAAACUGUUAGACUUGAGGAUGAGAGAGGUGAGUGGAAUUCCCAGUGUAGAGGUGAAAUUCGUAGAUAUUGGGAAGAACACCGGUGGCGAAGGCGGCUCACUGGCUCAUUACUGACGCUCAGGCGCGAUAGCGUGGGAUCAAACAGG